UACGGGGGGAGCAAGCGUUGUUCGGAUUUACUGGGCGUAAAGGGCGCGUAGGCGGUCAGCACAAGUCAGUUGUGAAAUCUCCGGGCUUAACUCGGAAAGGUCAACUGAUACUGUGCGACUAGAGUGCGGAAGGGGCAACUGGAAUUCUCGGUGUAGCGGUGAAAUGCGUAGAUAUCGGGAGGAACACCGGUGGCGAAGGCGGCGGCCUGGUUCGAUACUGACACUGAGGUGCGAAAGCGUGGGGAGCAAACAGG
rnacentral:rRNA from 1 species